rnacentral:rRNA from 1 species
CCUACGGGUGGCAGCAGUGAGGAAUAUUGGUCAAUGGACGAGAGUCUGAACCAGCCAAGUAGCGUGAAGGAUGACUGCCCUAUGGGUUGUAAACUUCUUUUAUAUGGGAAUAAAACAGGGUAUGCAUACCCUCUUGUAUGUACCAUAUGAAUAAGGAUCGGCUAACUCCGUGCCAGCAGCCGCGGUAAUACGGAGGAUCCGAGCGUUAUCCGGAUUUAUUGGGUUUAAAGGGUGCGUAGGUUGUUUUAUAAGUUAGCGGUGAAAUACCGAUGCUCAACAUCGGGGCUGCCGCUAAUACUGUAGGACUAGAGAUCGGAUGCAGCAGGCGGAAUGUGUAGUGUAGCGGUGAAAUGCAUAGAUAUUACACAGAACACCGAUUGCGAAGGCAGCUUGCUAGGCCGGAUCUGACACUGAUGCACGAAAGCGUGGGGAUCGAACAGGAUUAGAUACCCCUGUAGUC